rnacentral:rRNA from 1 species
CUACGGGCUGCACCAGUGGGGAAUAUUGCACAAUGGAGGAAACUCUGAUGCAGCAACGCCGCGUGGAGGAUGACACAUUUCGGUGCGUAAACUCCUUUUAUAUGAGAAGAUAAUGACGGUAUCAUAUGAAUAAGCACCGGCUAACUCCGUGCCAGCAGCCGCGGUAAUACGGGGGGUGCAAGCGUUACUCGGAAUCACUGGGCGUAAAGAGCAUGUAGGCGGAUAGAAAAGUUGGAAGUGAAAUCCUGUGGCUUAACCAUAGAACUGCUUCCAAAACUCUCUAUCUAGAAUAUGGGAGAGGUAGAUGGAAUUUCUGGUGUAGGGGUAAAAUCCGUAGAGAUCAGAAGGAAUAUCGAUUGCGAAGGCGAUCUACUGGAACAUUAUUGACGCUGAGAUGCGAAAGCGUGGGGAGCAAACAGGAUUAGAUACCCGCGUAGUC